CGGCCUGGCCCAAAAUAGCCUCGGCCCAACCCAGUAUACCUAACCUAUUUGCAGGAACUCCCGCACGCUCUCGUCUCAAGGACGAGGUGCUCCCUCCCAGCCUCCCCGCGCCGCCAGCCUCCUGGAUCGAAGCCGCCUCCGCCUUGACUCGUCGCCGCCGCCGCCGGCGACGCCUGGAUUCGACCGGCGAUAGCUGGUGCUACCCCCAGCCUCGCAGAUGCAGCUUGCAAUGACAACAUGACAUGGGGGGAUGACGAUCAAUCAAUCAUCACUUGAUAAAAGAGACACCAAAUGGGGCAUUAUCCUCUAUUAUGAUCUCUUUCUCAUUAAUUUUCUGUCUUAAUUGUAUAUUAUAUGGCAUAUUUUUAUUUUAUUUUAUAUAUACUCGCCGUA